CACUAUCGUUAACUGAAUACAUAGGUUAACGAGGCGAACCGGGGGAACUGAAACAUCUAAGUACCCCGAGGAAAAGAAAUCAACCGAGAUUCCCCCAGUAGCGGCGAGCGAACGGGGAGCAGCCCAGAGUCUGAAUCAGCUUGUGUGUUAGUGGAACGGUCUGGAAAGUCCGACGGUACAGGGUGAUAGUCCCGUACACCAAAAUGCACAGGCUGUGAACUCGAAGAGUAGGGCGGGACACGUGGUAUCCUGUCUGAAUAUGGGGGGACCAUCCUCCAAGGCUAAAUACUCCUGACUGACCGAUAGUGAACCAGUACCGUGAGGGAAAGGCGAAAAGAACCCCGGCGAGGGGAGUGAAAAAGAACCUGAAACCGUGUACGUACAAGCAGUGGGAGCACCUUCGGGUGUGACUGCGUACCUUUUGUAUAAUGGGUCAGCGACUUAUAUUCUGUAGCAAGGUUAACCGUAUAGGGGAGCCGCAGGGAAACCGAGUCUUAACUGGGCGUUAAGUUGCAGGGUAUAGACCCGAAACCCGGUGAUCUAGCCAUGGGCAGGUUGAAGGUUGGGUAACACUAACUGGAGGACCGAACCGACUAAUGUUGAAAAAUUAGCGGAUGACUUGUGGCUGGGGGUGAAAGGCCAAUCAAACCGGGAGAUAGCUGGUUCUCCCCGAAAGCUAUUUAGGUAGCGCCUCGUGAACUCAUCUUCGGGGGUAGAGCACUGUUUCGGCUAGGGGGUCAUCCCGACUUACCAACCCGAUGCAAACUACGAAUACCGAAGAAUGUUAUCACGGGAGACACACGGCGGGUGCUAACGUCCGUCGUGAAGAGGGAAACAACCCAGACCGCCAGCUAAGGUCCCAAAGUCAUGGUUAAGUGGGAAACGAUGUGGGAAGGCACAGACAGCCAGGAUGUUGGCUUAGAAGCAGCCAUCAUUUAAAGAAAGCGUAAUAGCUCACUGGUCGAGUCGGCCUGCGCGGAAGAUGUAACGGGGCUAAACCAUGCACCGAAGCUGCGGCAGCGACACUAUGUGUUGUUGGGUAGGGGAGCGUUCUGUAAGCCUGCGAAGGUGUGCUGUGAGGCAUGCUGGAGGUAUCAGAAGUGCGAAUGCUGACAUAAGUAACGAUAAAGCGGGUGAAAAGCCCGCUCGCCGGAAGACCAAGGGUUCCUGUCCAACGUUAAUCGGGGCAGGGUGAGUCGACCCCUAAGGCGAGGCCGAAAGGCGUAGUCGAUGGGAAACAGGUUAAUAUUCCUGUACUUGGUGUUACUGCGAAGGGGGGACGGAGAAGGCUAUGUUAGCCGGGCGACGGUUGUCCCGGUUUAAGCAUGUAGGCUGGUUGUCCAGGCAAAUCCGGAUAAUCAAGGCUGAGGUGUGAUGACGAGGCACUACGGUGCUGAAGUAACAAAUGCCCUGCUUCCAGGAAAAGCCUCUAAGCAUCAGGUAACAUUAAAUCGUACCCCAAACCGACACAGGUGGUCAGGUAGAGAAUACCAAGGCGCUUGAGAGAACUCGGGUGAAGGAACUAGGCAAAAUGGUGCCGUAACUUCGGGAGAAGGCACGCUGGUGUGUAGGUGAAGUCCCUGCGGAUGGAGCUGAGACCAGUCGAAGAUACCAGCUGGCUGCAACUGUUUAUUAAAAACACAGCACUGUGCAAACACGAAAGUGGACGUAUACGGUGUGACGCCUGCCCGGUGCCGGAAGGUUAAUUGAUGGGGUUAUCCGUAAGGAGAAGCUCUUGAUCGAAGCCCCGGUAAACGGCGGCCGUAACUAUAACGGUCCUAAGGUAGCGAAAUUCCUUGUCGGGUAAGUUCCGACCUGCACGAAUGGCGUAAUGAUGGCCAGGCUGUCUCCACCCGAGACUCAGUGAAAUUGAACUCGCUGUGAAGAUGCAGUGUACCCGCGGCAAGACGGAAAGACCCCGUGAACCUUUACUAUAGCUUGACACUGAACAUUGAGCCUUGAUGUGUAGGAUAGGUGGGAGGCUUUGAAGCGUGGACGCCAGUCUGCGUGGAGCCAACCUUGAAAUACCACCCUUUAAUGUUUGAUGUUCUAACGUUGGCCCCUUACCGGGGUUGCGGACAGUGUCUGGUGGGUAGUUUGACUGGGGCGGUCUCCUCCCAAAGCGUAACGGAGGAGCACGAAGGUUAGCUAAUCCUGGUCGGACAUCAGGAGGUUAGUGCAAUGGCAUAAGCUAGCUUGACUGCGAGCGUGACGGCGCGAGCAGGUGCGAAAGCAGGUCAUAGUGAUCCGGUGGUUCUGAAUGGAAGGGCCAUCGCUCAACGGAUAAAAGGUACUCCGGGGAUAACAGGCUGAUACCGCCCAAGAGUUCAUAUCGACGGCGGUGUUUGGCACCUCGAUGUCGGCUCAUCACAUCCUGGGGCUGAAGUAGGUCCCAAGGGUAUGGCUGUUCGCCAUUUAAAGUGGUACGCGAGCUGGGUUUAGAACGUCGUGAGACAGUUCGGUCCCUAUCUGCCGUGGGCGCUGGAGAAUUGAGGGGGGCUGCUCCUAGUACGAGAGGACCGGAGUGGACGCAUCACUGGUGUUCGGGUUGUCAUGCCAAUGGCACUGCCCGGUAGCUAAAUGCGGAAGAGAUAAGUGCUGAAAGCAUCUAAGCACGAAACUUGCCCCGAGAUGAGUUCUCCCUGAGACUUUAAGUCUCCUGAAGGAACGUUGAAGACGACGACGUUGAUAGGCCGGGUGUGUAAGCGCAGCGAUGCGUUGAGCUAACCGGUACUAAUGAACCGUGAGGCUUAACCUUACAACGCCGAAG
rnacentral:rRNA from 1 species